rnacentral:rRNA from 1 species
CAGUAGCCGCGGGAAUACGAAGGGGGCUAGCGUUGUUCGGAAUUACUGGGCGUAAAGGGCGCGUAGGCGGCCAUUCAAGUUAGAUGUGAAAGCCCGGGGCUCAACCUAGGAAUUGCAUUUGAUACUGUUUGGCUUGAGUUCGGGAGAGGUGAGUGGAAUUCCCAGUGUAGAGGUGAAAUUCGUAGAUAUUGGGAAGAACACCAGUGGCGAAGGCGGCUCACUGGACCGACACUGACGCUGAGGCGCGAAAGCGUGGGGAGCAAACAGGAUUAGAUACCCGAGUAGUCCCUGUCUCUUAUAC